AGCACUUAAUUCUUUUGUUUUUGUCUAACAUGGACAGAAGCUUUGAAUUCUGUGCUAAUAAUAAAAUGACUCUUUUGCAACCCACAACUGAUAAUGAGUUGUGCUACUUGUAAGUGUGGACAGUA